GACGAACGCUGGCGGCGUGCUUAACACAUGCAAGUCGAACGGAAAGGCCCUGCUUUUGUGGGGUGCUCGAGUGGCGAACGGGUGAGUAACACGUGAGUAACCUGCCCUUGACUUUGGGAUAACUUCAGGAAACUGGGGCUAAUACCGGAUAGGAGCUCCUGCUGCAUGGUGGGGGUUGGAAAGUUUCGGCGGUUGGGGAUGGACUCGCGGCUUAUCAGCUUGUUGGUGGGGUAGUGGCUUACCAAGGCUUUGACGGGUAGCCGGCCUGAGAGGGUGACCGGCCACAUGGGGACGGAGAGACGGCCCAGACUCCGACGGGAGGAAGAAGGGGGGAAUAUGGCACAAUGGGCGGAAGCCGGAGGCAGAAACGCCGGGUGCGGGAGGACGGCCUUCGGGUGGUAAACCGCUUUCGCAGGUGACGAAGCGGGAGUGACGGUAAUGGGUAAAGAAGCACCGGCUAACUACGU
rnacentral:rRNA from 1 species